UGGAAUCAUGUUUGUUCCUGUGUUUGUUGUUAGUAGCUUUUAGCAGUAUCUUAUAUUGUAAUUGGUCAUAUAAUUGAUCUCCUAAAUUUUUAUUAUUGUUAUAAAACAUGGCAUCCAUGGAAGGAAAGAGAGAAAAGCUAUGAAACUAUUGUAUUGAUAUGAAAGAGUGAUAUUACAAGUUGCCCACUGAUAGGGUUGUUACAAGUUAUUUAUACUAAUGCCUACCAGGACUAAUAUGCCACUCAUUUAUAUCUCUAAUAGUCCCCCGCAAGAAAUACAAAGUCAUCAAACAAGUGCUUAUCCAACAAGAAGAAACCACAACUCAAGGUUUAACCGCUUGAAGGAUGAGGCAUCAAAGCAACGCUUAACCACCAUCCGACAGAAGCAAUCAUCAACAAAGCCAAUUAAGGCACAACGCUUAACCAUUCAUGACGGAAGCUUAUCAACAUGGCUGAUCCAUCAUGAACAGAAGCACAAAACAAGAAAAACAAGGAUAUCCAAAAUCAAUGAUGAUAUCUGAAAGAAAAAGAAAUGCAAGGAAGGGCCAAAUUGUACAAUGGAAGGAGGUCAUAUGUUGAACAAACUUCGUACCAAAGGUACUAUAAAGCAACAAGAUCAAGGUUCCAAGAUAUAUAAAAAGAGAUGCCUUCCAAUGCCGAGCCGAGACAAAAGGAACCAAAUGCAACCUGUAAAAGGACUGCCCAAAAUUUGACAACUAAAUUUUAUCUUCAAAGGGUGCUGCCACUUGCAUAAUGCAACCAACAGUAGCACUAAACAGAGAGAUAACAAAUAGGUGUUUUUUAAAUUUUAUCUUCAAAGGGUGCUGCCACUUGCAUGAUGUGCCACUCAUCUAUAUCUCUAAUAAUUAUAUUGGCUGUUAUUUUGGCUUUAGCAUAGCCUUUCUGUAUUGUGGUUAGUGUCGAUUAAGACAUUGUUUAUCUUGUUUGGGUUAGCACCCCUUGUGUCUAACUUUUUAUUUAAUUAAAUUUUCCGUUUAAUAUUUUUUAAAUUUUAGUCAUAU
rnacentral:lncRNA from 1 species